rnacentral:rRNA from 3 species
GAGGCCUUCGGACUGGCUCAGGGAGGUCGGCAACGACCACCCAGAGCCGGAAAGUUGGUCAAACUCGGUCAUUUAGAGGAAGUAAAAGUCGUAACAAGGUCUCCGUAGGUGAACCUGCGGAGGGAUCAUUA